ACACGCAUGACACACUGCAUAUCAAUAAGCGGAGGAAAAGAAACUAACUAGGAUUCCCUUAGUAACGGCGAGUGAAGCGGGAAGAGCUCAAAUUUGAAAUCUUCAAGGUUCUACCUUGACGAAUUGUAGUUUAAAGAAGUGUUUUCUGUUGGAGUUUUGGUAAAAGUUCUUUGGAAUAGGACAUCAUAGAGGGUGAGAAUCCCGUAUUUGGUCAUUCCUCCUAGCGUUGUGAUACACUUUCAACGAGUCGGAUUGUUUGGGAAUGCAGUCCAAAAUGGGUGGUAAAUUUCAUCUAAAGCUAAAUAUUGGCGAGAGACCGAUAGCGAACAAGUACCGUGAGGGAAAGAUGAAAAGAACUUUGAAAAGAGAGUUAAACAGUACGUGAAAUUGUCAAAAGGGAAGCGUUUGACACCAGUGUUGUUUUUCCGAAAAUCAAUUACGAAUGUUUUAUUUUUGAGAAGUUAUGACUUCAUCGGCUUGCUUCUCUCUUUAUGAAACUUUCUUAAUGCACUUUUCGGUUAACAAGUCAACAUCAAUUUCUUUUGUUGUAAAAGGGUAUGAGGAAGGUGGCUUUCUUUUCGGAGAAAGUGUUUAUAGCCUUGUACCUCUGCAAUCGGAGAGAUUGAGGUCUGCAGCGUAGAUCCUUCGGGGUUAGAUACAUUUGUGCUAAGUUAUAGCUUUUCAUAGACAACUUGUUGACUAUGUUUAGUCUUGUAGCUUACUCGCUUAUGCUAUUUUACCUACGCUUAGGAUGUUGAAGACUCUACAGAGAUA
rnacentral:rRNA from 1 species